rnacentral:rRNA from 1 species
GACUACUGGGGGUAUCUAAUCCCAUUCGCUCCCCUAGCUUUCGUCCCUCAGUGUCAGUUGCGGCCUAGUAGAGCGCCUUCGCCACCGGUGUUCUUCCUGAUCUCUACGCAUUUCACCGCUACACCAGGAAUUCCCUCUACCCCGAACGCACUCAAGUUUUGUAGUUUCCACUGCCAUUAUGUAGUUGAGCUACACGCUUUAACAGCAGACUUACAAAACCACCUACGAACGCUUUACGCCCAAUUAUUCCGGAUAACGCUUGCAUCCUCCGUAUUACCGCGGCUGCUGGCACGGAGUUAGCCGAUGCUGAUUCCUCAAGUACCGUCAUUAUCUUCCUUGAGAAAAGAGGUUUACAACCCAAGAGCCUUCCUCCCUCACGCGGCGUUGCUCCGUCAGGCUUUCGCCCAUUGCGGAAAAUUCCCCACUGCUGCCUCCCGUAGGAGUUUGGGCCGUGUCUCAGUCCCAAUGUGGCUGAUCAUCCUCUCAGACCAGCUACUGAUCGUCGCCUUGGUAUGCUUUUACCACACCAACUAGCUAAUCAGACGCGAGCUCAUCUCCAGGCAAUAAAUCUUUCACUGUUAAGCACAUUCGGUAUUAGCAGUCGUUUCCAACUGUUGUCCCGAACCUGAAGGCAGAUUCUCACGCGUUACUCACCCGUCCGC